CCCUUUAUUAACCUUCCAAGGGAUUGCAAUGGAAACCAUCACCUGUACUUUAUCAUCCCCUAUAUUAUCCAAUGUACCGGUAUGAACUCGAACUCCUUGUUCCGUUAGCCCUGCCCUUCCUAUUAUCAAUCCUACCCUAUCAGUUGGUAAUGGUUUUUCUAAUUUGGUUGUAAUAGGAGUUUCACUGGGAAGUAGAAUUAAAUCCUGUAAACUAAGGGGAUCUACUGUGAUGUUAAAUGCUUGUACAGGUGUAGUCCCAGGGAACCUCGCUUCAGUUGAGAGUUUGGCUUUUGUUCUGAACAGGGAAAGCUUCCUUGGUUGACGGGGCUGGAAGCUUGCCCCAAGGAGAGUUUCCCGACAAGGGGGUUCCAUCUUUAUGAAAGAUGGACCGGCACUGACUAGCCCAGUGGUAUCCUUUAUUACAUCUUGGUAUUCACAUUUUCAUAUGCUAAUAAUUGAAAAAUAGUAUCAGACACCUCAAAAUUAGUCAUUUGUCGUUUUAACGCCUCUUGUAAACGAGCUAAAAAUUCAGUAUAAGGGUCCUUAGGACCUUGUAGGAUCUCUUGAAAAGAAGUAUUUAUUUGGCCCUUAGAUUCAAUUUUAUCCCAUGCUGUUAAGCAACAUUGUUUGAUUUGUUCAAUGGCCAAAUCAUUCAUCCUCAUUUGAUCCUGAAGAUUACUCCAAGGACCAAUCCCUAAUAACUGUUCCAUUGUAAUCGGAAGAUUUUGAGCCUGAUUACGAGUAGCAGCAAUUUGGGCAUGAUCUUGCCACCAAGACUUAAAUUCUAAGUAUUCACUAGAAGAUAGCACAGCACAGGUUAAGCUAUGACAAUCAGCAGGAAUCAUACGGUUUCCUUCAGCUACUCCCUGCAUGAUUCCUUUUGUAAAGGGAGAAUUAACACCAUAAUUUUGAACAGCGUGUUUUAAUUCUUUAAGAAUUUUAAAAGGAAAGCGCUCAUGAAUGAACUCAUAAACUCCAUCAGGAUUGGCAGGAUCAAUGCCUGGAGUCAUCGUCUCCCUGACAGUUACUGGAAAGCCUAAACGUAUGGCAUCCAAAUCGCCUUCCCUUCAAGCCUGUAAAAUUCCCUGUUGAAUGGAUGAUAGAUGGCAUUCAGGAAUAACACUCAUUUCCUUUGCAACCCUAGAAGUAGAGGCUUAAUGAGUCCUCAUCACCUUACUCCUAAUAGGAGGCAAUUGAGGAAUAUCAUAUCCAAAAUUGGAGCCAAAGGCUCAGGAGCCAAACAUUCUCUAUGAUAGUUUUGCUCAGGGACUAUAUAUUUAGGUUCCUCCAACAAAGGCGCAAACUCCCCUUCUUCAUCCUCCUCUAACUUCCCUGAAGUCUGUAGAGGUUCUAAAACUGAUUUGAUUAAGCUCCAAGUAUUCCAAAUAGAGGAAUUGAAACACCCUUAUCAUGCAAUGUCCUAAGCUCCAUUCCUACGUUUUCCCAUAUGUUUAAAUCUAACGUUUCUAAGGUAAGAAACCAAUCACAGUGUUUCUCAAUAGUCUUAAAAAGUUCUGAGAGCUUAUUUUCACUUAUUUUUAUGCCCCCCUUUUUAAGGAGUUGUGUUAACAAACAAAUAUAAGAAUUACGGUUUCCUGCAAUUACCUUAUUUCCCAUUUAAUCCCGUAAAUACCUGAGAGAGAGAACUUAUCCGCAGGAUUUUUUUUUUUUUUUUUUUUUUUUUUUAGUGUGGCCACGCAAAAUUCCUCCCUUCUUCUCAGGGCUCCAUAGCACUUCCACGAAAUACCGCUGUACUCACGGCCCUUCGUUCCUCGUGCCUACCUGUUUACCCGCCCCACAUUGGGCGCCACUUGCCGAGGCCAGCUCAGCAGGAUGGGGCUGAAGAACAGAUACUACAGAACUUAAGGAAUAAAUAACAAAACAGCAAGACAAAAAUAUCAAGACACAGAGAGAGAGUAAAGGUAGGAUCCCUGGAGACUCAAGGUCUCAGGAACCAAAAGCCCCGCCUCCAGAAACCACACUGCUUUUAUUGUGUUUCUUAAAUGAGAUCACGUGAGGAGGGGCUAUUGGAGGGUAAUCAAGGAAAAUCAGAGAAACAUGUCUCUCAACAAUCAAGGCUGAAAAUUAGGGAAACAUGUCUCGCAACAGAUACAGACUUACACAGACAGAGAACAAACCGGUGGCUACCAGUGGAGAGGGAAAAGGUGCAGGGCUCAAAAGAGGAAGGGGAUUAAGAGGUACAAAAUACUAUGUAUAAAAUAAAUAAGCUACAAGAAUAUAUUGUACAAUACAGUGAAUACAGCCAAUAUUUUAUAACUUUAAAUGGAGUAUCAUCUAUAAAGUCUUGAAUCACUGUUGUAUGCUUGAAAUUAAUAUAAUAUUGUACAUCAACUAUAUUUCAUUUUUAAAAACCUACUUCUCUGAUUGUCACUAACCCCUAGAGUGCUGGCCAGAGUAGGAAUAACACCACUCUUGUCCUUUCGUUUAAGUGAAACCAGAGCAGUUUAACUCUAACCACCACCCAGCAGGCUCCUCAUUCUUCAUCCCAUGAACCACUUUCUCUCCUACCUGUCCUUUCCAUAUUUUCCCUCUCUACACAUUUUUUUCUUCUCAUCAUUUUCCUCUUUUUCUGCCCCUUUCCUUUCCUUCUCUUUUCUUUUUUUCUUUUCUUUGCUUUUUAGGGCCACACCCACAGCAUAUGGAGAAUCCCAGACUAGGGGUCAAAUCAGAGCUACAGCCACUGGCCUACACCACAGCCACAGCAACGCAGGAUCCAAGCCGAUCUUCAACCUACACCACAGCUCAAGGUAACACCGGAUCUUUAACCCACUUAGUGAGGCCAGGGACUGAACCGCCACCUUCAUGGUUACUAGUCAGAUUUGUUUCCACUACAUCACAAUGGGAACUCCUCCUUUCUCUUUUCUCAUUCUCUACCUCAGUCUCAUUUCCUGCCCCCCCUAACUCCUCCCAUCCCUUGCCAUUCAGAGGCUAUAAAAUCAAGUCCAAAGAUAAAUUGUUAUUGCUUGCUUUGAGAACUCUGUUUUACUGUUUAAAGUGGGUGCUUUGGACAUUUUCUAUUUUUACUCUAAAAUAUAAAUUUAUUUUUCUAUGUGUGGGUGUACAUGGAUGUGUGUCUGUGCCUACGUUGUGUUCAUGGUGUUCUCCACGGGGAUUAGCAAACCUUGAAAGAGAAAAGGGAUGCCCACUUUAGAGUUUUACUUUGGACAAGCCCUUUCAAGUCUCCUUGAACUCAAUUAUCUCUUCUGGUUGUACAGAGAGCUGUAGAUAGAGUCCUGAGGAGGGGGCUGAUGAAUUCUUACAAUGUUCACUAAAACCAGUCCUGUCCACAUUAAGCAGCCCCAAAAGACAGAUCAAGAUGCUGGAGUUCCCAAUUGCUCCAAAGUGGGACCGGGGAGUGAACUGUGUGUGGCAGCCUGGCAAUGAGGAGUGAGAAGAAACUAGUGGUAUGCUGAUAAUAUUUAACAACUGGGCUGGGGAAAGUGGAAGGAGAGGAGUAAAAAUCUCUGAGUUGUAGCAUCUGAUGAUUUCUAUGGUGUAGAUGCUCCUGUCAUAACCAAUUUCAAGCUGCUACCAUGGAAUCACUGAACACUGAGUUGGCAGUCAAUGCACAGUAAGUAAGCCCACUGCGAAAUGAUAUUUCCACUGUGUAAAUACAGUAGAUUCAAAUAACCUCAAAAGAUAGAUAAUAUUAAAUGUUGCUAAAACAAUUAGAAGGUGAAGAGUUUUUAGUAUUUUUAACUUUGUUAACAGCACGACUUACUUAAGUGCAAGUAUACGUAAUUUAAUUUUUAAUAAUGGCUAUAUUUGACAACCAGCUUGCAAAAUUCCUAAAAAUGUUAACACUCUACUCUUACAAUCUGGUAUAAGCCAACACCCCUUCAGGAAAGUCAACGCUUGUCAUCCAGUUAUAUGGAAAACGGCUGGCUAUUCAGAUCAAAUGGGAUUUUAAAGGCUGCAGAAAUAAUAGAAGAAGGCCUUCUUACAAGUAUGAAGGAAAACUAGCAUGAAGGGAAAUUCCCAUUGUCGUUGGCAUUUGUGCAUAAAGAUUGCACUUCAUUGGCCAGAAGAAUAUUGUUUCAGGGCCUGUGAUGCACCAGACACAGCCUCUACCACCAGCUCAGCUCCUUCAAUCAUCACUUUCAUCAAAGCCCUCCACACUGUGCCUCUCCAACUUAUCUCCAGUAACUUUUACUUUGCCCAAACUGACUUAAGCAUUGUUUCCCUGAGCACAUAUCUCCUUAGCUUCAUUCAACCUGGCUUUUGUUCCCUGCUGAGAAGCCCUUUGCCCUCCUCUCUUUCCAAGUGUUGCCCACAUUUCGGGAACUAGCUUGGAUCCUAUCUCCAGCUUCUCAGCCUCAGGACCCAUGCUCCUGCGGCUCUGGUUAACUGCAUGUCUCUUAAUCUGUACUCUGUGUGUACAUACCCACCAUGUAUUUAAUUCCCAACCAAAUUUUUAGUUCCAGGAGUUCCCACUGUGGCUUAGCAGAAAGGAAUCUGACUAGUAUCCAUGAAGACAGCAGGUUUGAUCCCUGGCCUCACUCAGUGGGUUAAGGAUGUGGCAUUGCUGUUGAGCUGUGGUAUAGGUCACAGAUGAGGCUCAGAUCCUGUGCUGCUGUGGUUGUGGUACAGACCAGCAGCUACAGCUCCAUUUCAAUCCCUAGCCUAGGAACUUCCAUAAGUCAUGGGCGUAGCCCUAAAAAGACAAAAAUAGAAAUAAAAAUUUAGUUCCUGGAGAAGAGAACCAACAUUCAUACCCCCCUUUAUUGGCUUUUCAUCAGCACCUAGUUCUAGCUGCUUCUAUCAUGGUUUUGGAAACUUACUAAGAGCUCUCCUCUUCUGAGGAGACUGGAUGGGCUUAAAGGAUGCAGUCUUUUCUCUAAAAAGGGCAGUCUGACAAGAUAAGAAAGUCUUGGCAAGUUGUACUCCCAGCUUUACUCCUAAUUAAUUAUCAGACACAGCUGUGUCACCACUCAAUGAAGGAUUAUACUCAGGGCUGAUUUUCCAGUCACAAUUUACUGUAUCCCUACCAGACGUAACUCUCUGGCACCCCAAGUCCCCUACCCAAUGCCUCCACCUCCCCAUCCCAACCACUCAAACCUGCCCCUCGUGUGCCUUAGACCUUUCUACCACCCAGCAACUAAAGGUGUUUUAAAAUGUGCCCAGGAUUUUUUUUUUUUAGGUAUGAUGAGGACAAGAGAUCAGGGGACGCUUAUCACAAAAAAGAUAGUUGGUUACUCACACUCUGAAGAUUGGGAGCAUGCCACACCACACAGGGCCACACAGGGAAGCACCAGAGUUAGCCAGGUGGCAGAUGGAGUGAGGGGAAAGCAUAGCCAAAAGCCUUUGUAAUGGUUUUCACAGGAAGGAAUGAGCAAGGCAGGGUAAGCAGCUGAGCAGGCUUAGGAAUGGAUAGUUAAGUGAUAGAGGGCUCUGGGCUGUAGAGGUGGUCCCUAGUUUUCUGGUACCUGGCCCUGAGGUGAUUUAGGACAGAGGUCAUGUCCCAGACUUUAGGAGCCUGAUAAAGAGGGUAAUUCAGGGCUAUGCACUUGGGAUUGGUAUGCAUAUCAAAGGCAUGCCUGCAGGCAAGUUGUUUGUUAUCUCUAGGAAUUAGCUAACCCUAAGAGUGACAGACUCCCCCCAGUCAGCAACACCUCCAAAUGUCAAAGCACACAAAAUACAGAAAAUAAAAAAUAUAAUUAAAACAAAAGAGUCAAUGCCUAGCACAACAUGAGGAGUCUCCCAUAGGUUGCCCUAACAUUUGUUGAGCACCAGGCCAAAAUACUUAGUGAGGCUCACAUACCAAAUGUACAAAUUCCCUGAACUUAUAAAUCAAGCUCACUGUUAAAUAAAUAAAAUAUUUUCAAUCCACUGUCCUUGACAAUUGUAUCAAUCAUAUUCUUGGCAAUCAGUAUGCAAUCCCAAAUGUAAUCAUGAGAAUCUCUGACUCAAAUCCCACAGUAUAAAAUGUCUAACC
rnacentral:lncRNA from 1 species